rnacentral:rRNA from 1 species
CCUACGGGAGGCAGCAGUGAGGAAUAUUGGUCAAUGGACGAGAGUCUGAACCAGCCAAGUAGCGUGAAGGAUGACUGCCCUAUGGGUUGUAAACUUCUUUUAUAUGGGAAUAAAAUGUUCCACGUGUGGGUUUUUGUAUGUAUCAUAUGAAUAAGGAUCGGCUAACUCCGUGCCAGCAGCCGCGGUAAUACGGAGGAUCCGAGCGUUAUCCGGAUUUAUUGGGUUUAAAGGGAGCGUAGGUGGAGUGUUAAGUCAGUUGUGAAAGUUUGCGGCUCAACCGUAAAAUUGCAGUUGAUACUGGCAGUCUUGAGUACAGUAGAGGUAGGCGGAAUUCGUGGUGUAGCGGUGAAAUGCUUAGAUAUCACGAAGAACUCCGAUUGCGAAGGCAGCUCACUGGACUGCAACUGACACUGAGGCACGAAAGUGUGGGUAUCAAACAGGAUUAGAUACCCGUGUAGUC